CAGAAAUUAAGUGAAGACAAAAUUUGAGGGAAUGGUUGAUCUCAGUGUGAGAGGGAACAAAAGUGUAUAUACAACAUGGAAGUAUAUAUGGUUCUGCCUGAAUACACCCUUCCUGAGUUCUCUCGUGGUCAGAGGCUUUGAUACAUCACCAGAAACCUACCAUGCAAGGAAUUGCACAUGUGGUUGCUGGUGGAAGAAUAUGUCUUCAAAGCCAAAAGACUGUGCAGUGAUGUUGACCUUGAUAAACAGCUGUCUACAUUUUGGUUGUUUUGAACUCAUGUCUGUUUCCUAGAAUUAUGCACAUUGUGUUAAUUUUGUUAUUUAUUAGUUUUACUGCAAAACCUGUUGUGCCCACACAGGUAGUCAAUAUACUGAGAAACAUAGGUGGUAAGUAAAAUAGCUUUUAAAAUGGAUGACAUUUCAUUUGCUGUCUUUCUCCAGUGCCUGUAGAAACUAUAUUUUGAUAAUACAUAUUUUGCUUUAUGUACUGAAAAUUAAGGAAGAUGAAUUGUGUUUUUGCUGACCAACUUCUCUUUAUUUUAAUGACAAAUUUGAAAUGUUAUUAUAUAUGUUUCAAUGAGAAUUGGGACUUAAACCUUCCAUAUCAUGGAGCACUUACACACUUAAUGUGCAUGGAACACUUAAUGUGUAUAAACUUUCACAGUUUUUGUUGCUAAAUGCAUAUAUGUUUAUCUGUUAACGAUAAAUAAUUGUUUACAUAUCUAAAAUAAAAUAAAAUCAUAAUUAUCAUAAAAUAAAAGUAUAGCAGGUAAACCACCUACAUAAUAAUAAUUAAAAAAAAAAAAAAAAAAAAAAGGACAGCCUCUGGCAUGAUGCUAAGCAGAAUAUUUGCCAAGGACAUGAAUAUCAAAACAAGAUUGCUUUCAUACUAUUUUAUCCUCAUUACAAAUACUGGGUCUAAUAUGUUGAAUCUGUUUUUCCACGUCACUGUGUGUAACAUGGAAAACAUUAUUUGAAACACAAGAGAAACAAGAGAAAAGAAGUGGAACACCCAGCUCCCAAGCUACAGCCCAUGUUUUCUUUCUUUUUUUUUUUUUUUUUAUCAUGUACAUUCAUAUCACCUGUUUUGUCCUUGCUAAAAAAAAAAAAAAAAAAAAAAA